rnacentral:lncRNA from 1 species
GAGAAGAAGCUUGGAUCAGAGAGAUAAAAUCAGGGGAAAUGUUGAUGUUAGCUACUAUAAACUCCCUCGGAUCCUCUUCAUCUCAACAUCUUCAUCACGCGUUGUUCAAGAAAAACAAAAGAGCGCUCAAGAUUGGUUCAAGGUUUACUAUGUUCGACUGUUAAGUUCACUCGAGGUAAAUUAUAUGUGUACGUAAAUAAUAUGGUCCUGACUUUCAUCAUCUUUUUUUCAUCUAUGUAAUUCGAAGGUCCACCACAUGGGUUGGUGUUUCUUUUCAUUGGAACUAGAAGGGUAAAUUUGGGUUAAAUUGAGUUUCUCAUGGGGUCAGAGAACUCAUUUCACGUUUGAUUUCUUUUUAGUUUCACAUUUCUUCUUUGGUGUGGCUUUCAUUGGGUAUACAAACAGAGGGAAGGGUGUGGUUUUGUAUUGUUAAAACUUUGGUUAUUUAUGUAAGAGUUAUGUUAUUACGGUUCUUUUGGAUACAUGUCUAUGUAUAUUUAUGUUAUAUAUAUUUACGUUAUAAUCACGAUAGAUAUGGGACGAAGGUACAUGUGGAUCAGUGGAUAACUUGAUUAAUUGUCCAAAAGGAGAGCGUCCUUUAGCUAAUGUCAAAUGGGAGAUUCAUGAAUAGGAGAAACUUCGCAGAAACGACGUUAAUGGAUACAAAUUAGUUGACACAUAUAUAUACAAUAUACAUGUAAUAUACUAAGACCGACAAAGUGAAAGCGUGGUUAGACAUCUUAUUUAUAUAAACAUUCUGCUCGUAGAGUCGUAGUUAUGUCAUAUUAAUGAAUAAUGAUUUUGUUCUUUACCAUUUUGGUUACAAGCCUACAACUCAUGGUUUCAUGUAUAUAUGAACACAAGUUUUGGUCCAGGCUUGGAGUUUAUUGAUGCGUCAUUAUAAAGUGGGCACGAGUUCGUUACCAGCUUCUGCAUGUCAUUUUCUCUGCAAUGAUUCUUUUCGUGCAAGUAUUGGAGAUAGAUUUAUUCGUUAAAGAUUUGGGUCGGCAGACUCGGUACCGUGUGGACCAAGAACUUUAUUACCUUUGUGUGGAUAAUUUAUGGAUCAAAAUCAAUUAUCACACGAAAGAAUGUUAUUAACACGUAUACUGUCGCUAACAUUCUAGCUUAUGGACACAUCAGACGAGAACUUGACCUGAUUAUUUUCAGCAAUCUGCAUAUACGUUUUCAUUGUUGAUAUUAUGUAUUUAUAUGAACAAAACUUGGAUUCGCUCCAUGUGGUAAACUUUCUAAUUCACCUCACCUCUUGAGAUCAAUCAAACUGUCACAUAGGAUUAAUAAGAGAAGGUAUUAAAAUUAAAAAGAAAAAGAAAAAUAGCUAAAUAAAGAAAAGGAAGAGGUCGCCGUUAACGAAGUAAUAGAACGUGAUCUCCAUCUGCUAGUUCUUCUUCAUAGCCCAGAGAUAUAUGAUUUUGUUUGUCAAGUUUGAAUCUCCAAUUCUUUCAAACAAAAAAAAAAAGAAUCUCCAAUUCUAUGCUUUCAAAUCCAAUAUUGAUUUCUCUUUCUCGUAACUAAAUCAAGUCAUGUUGCCUUCUAAAACAUUGUUUAUGUAUGUUCUUAAACACGCUCCUCAUAUAAUAAUAAUAAUAAUAAUACUCCUUAAAGCAGUUUUAGGGAUUUUUUGAUCAAAUCUUUUCUAAACUUCAGAUGCAGAGAGAAACAAAGGAAAGGGGCUUCACGGCUUCAAGCUCUGAAUAUGAAGUUGACGGCAAUGAACAAGCUCUUGAUGGAGGAAAAUGAUAGGUUGCAGAAGCAAGUGUCACACCUGGUUCAUGAAAAGAGCUACUUCUGUCAACACACCCCCAACGUAAGAAUCCUUAUCUUGAAGAUUAGUAGUUAGUUUUACUUUUUUUUUAAUGAGUGCCAUAUUGAUUUUGUUUUACCUUUUGGUUCCAGGCUUCACUUCCAGCUAAAGACAUAAGCUGUGAAUCAGUGGUGACUAGUGGACUAGAGCCUACAAGGGUAUCUGUGUAGAUAGAAUCAUCCCUAUGCAAUGCUCUACUACUACUACCUUACAUAAGUAGUCACACUGAUCUGCUUCUUCUUCUUCUUUUUUUCCAGGUCGCAGAGAUUGUCAAGGAUCGGCUUUCGUGGUUCCGGGAAUGCCGAGCUGUUGAUGUUAUGAAUUUUUUUGUAUUCUUACAAGGCAUUAGAGAAGUGAAAUCAAUGCAAUGCAUACAGCUACAGAUGUGAGGCUUUGAAUCUGCGGUUGUGUAGGCUAAUGUUCUUUGAUAUAUGUAGGGGUUUGCAUUCACUGACUAAGCAAUGUCCUGCUUUGAAGUUGUUCCAAAGCAUUUGAAAGUUGAGGAAUACGUAGUGUUAUAUUCUUACGAGGCUUUAGAGAAGGGAAAUCACAUACAGCGACAUAUGUGAGCUUUAGAAUCUGCUGAUAGGUUUUAAUACCCUAGAAAACAUAGAACAAUUAGACUUUUAAUGGAGAUUCUACAUAAUUGAUGUCCUUAAUUUGAAAGAGGAUAAAAAAGAGUAACUCAACCUACCUUAGAUUCCAAAAAAUUGAUGUUCUUCUCUGUAGGUGAUGAAGGAGAAGAAGCCGACGGCGUUAACCAUUUUCCUUUUCUUAAAAUCUUAAUACAUUUUCUUAUCAAUCCUAUGUGGCAGUUUGAUUGGCUUCAAAAAAGGAGGUGAAUUAAAGAGUUCACCACAGAGAGUGAACCCAAGUUUUGUUGUUAUUAUAUUUAUUAUGACAUCUUUAACCAAUCAAAUUGCAAACGAUUUAGGUAUUUAACGUUUCUAAUAACAAACUGAUGUUUGAUGAAAUACAAGACAAUGUUGAAACGUUAUAGGGAGUCAUGCCAUUAUAUAAAAUUUACUUCAACUAGCCAAUGCAUAGGCCCAUGAAUGAGAUAUUGACAGUAUAACCCAAACAUAGUCCCAUUUCUUUCUCUAAUCAAAAAUUCCGUUCUAUAUAAAAAUGCAUCUUGUAUGAUACAAAUUUAUAAUUCUUUUUUGAUAUAGAAGCGCAACAUGAAGGGAACGCCGUGUUUUUUUUCUAACACCAAACUCUUCUUUAGAAGCCUACUAAGUUAAGAUGGUUACAACCGGAGAAGCACACAACAACAAAAAUAUAAAAAAAAAUAAAACAACGAAAAUGUAGAAUUGAUCCAUAGAGAAGCCUUACUUCGAAUUCUAAAGCCAGUGUUUGAAAGAACACAAUCACAAUCAAGUCGAAUACAAGACCGACGUUGAAAGACCCAACUGAUGAGUUUGAGAGUGAUUGGCGACUGUCUAUGACGAUGCUAGGAUCGCUAAAGAAAGAUAUAUUGGUUAGUCCUUCAUAAAAAUUCCUUGGUGAAAGAGAGUUGGACCAUAAACUCUGGUUCUAGAGUAAUCAUCUUAAAAAACAAGUGACAUUAUAUCCAAAUCAAGACGACUCAUUGUGACAGUUAUGGGCUCGACAGUUUAAUGCAACAAAGAAAGAUGCGGAUUCUCAAGGAGAAAUCCGGGACAGCUAAAUGUAGAGUCGUGAUUUCAAUUUUAGAUAACUCGUCAAAAAGACAAAGAAUGUCAUUUCUGAGACAACAAAGAGCCUCAAUGUGGCUUUUCUAGACUCAAAGGGUUUGAUGUGUAGCCAGUGGCGGACGCAGAUGGUAACGUACGGGGGCACGUGCCCCUAUCUAAUUUUUAUUUUUCUUUUAAUAAUUAGUACUAGCUUAAGAAAUGCCCUGCAAUUCUAGAACUAUACAUACUGAAAAAAUGUCAUCAUGUGCCCCCAUCUAAUUAUGAUGCUGCAUCCGCCCCUGUGUGUAGCUGCAUGUAGAAUGGUGGGACUGCAGAGGUCGGAGUGGGGAAACCGGGACAGCUAAAAAUAGAAUUGUGAAUCCUGAACUUCUCGAAAAAGAUACAAGAUGUCAUGCUUAUCUUUAUAAAAAUAGGAAAAAGCCUCAUGCCCUAAUUUUAAAUCAAAAUUAAGGGCCUCACUUAAAUAGACAACACACUAAUUUGUAAAUUAUUGCUUACAUAUAUUACAUAAUUGUUAUAUAUGUUUCUCUUAGGUUUUAGUGUCGGCUUCUAAGAUUCUGUAACUUUUAUUGAAAGAAAUAAGGAGAAUUUUUUUUUAUAGAUUAAUAAUUAAAUUACAUGUUGAUGUGUAUGAUUUCAUGUGUUUUAUGAUUUAUGAUUAAUAGCUUAAAAGUUAUGAAUCUCUUCACCGCAAGGUGAGAGACUGAUUUUUCAGUGAAAUGAUGCACUUUAAAAUUUUCACUACUACAACUACAAGUAACACACAUUUCAUAAUUCGGGGUUUAAGCGAACAUGACCUGAAGUGCACAAGAGUUAUGAAUCUACCAUUUCAGUUGUUUGUAAACACACAAACAUAAAUUUAGCGUUUAAAAUAAUUCCUUAGACUCUUUAAGAUCUUUAUUGUCAGUCUCUCUACCAAUUUCUCAAUUCCAGUAUAUAAAAGGGAUUGAGCUAGAGCUAUGAGGUUAUCCACGCUAGCCACAACAUCUUAAUUUUUAGUGUCUUCUCUUCUGUUCUGCUAUCAAAUUGAACAGUUUCUUCGUCUCUUCAGUUGUAAUCUUAUUUUUAUCUCUCAUAAAUUGUAAAUCGCUUCAGUUUUUUCAUCUCCACUAAAAGUUCUAGUUUUCUCUCAGCUCCUAUAUAUUCCUAUUAUCAAUCAAUUCACUUUAUGAAGAAAAUAUGAUUACACAAAUGGCGAAAAGCCUACAUGGAACUAACUGAGACAAUCACUUUUUUACGUAUGAGAAAGAAAAUUCUACGAGACCAUAAUACACUCAAAAAUCCAAAUAAUAAUGGUCACUAAUUGAGUUUCUUUUUUUUUUGGUCAUCUAAUUUAAUUUCUUCAAAAUACAACUAACGAUAUACUGUUUUUUUCACAAAAUUGAAAACGCAAAAUAUCAUAUCUCUCUAAAAAAAGAUUAAAAAAGAAAUUUUUUUAAAAAAAUAUUCUUUAAAAAUUGUUUUGAUUUUUAGUAAAUAUAUUUUUAAAGAAAUGUAAAAAUUAAAAGGUUAAUGGUCAUUAACUGAGUUUCUACAAAAUAUAAAUAACGACAAAUUGAGUUUUAUAAAGUUUAAUAUCUUAAAUAUCAUAUCGUUUGCCAUAAUAAAUUGAAUUAUUUUUAAUGUUUGAGUUCAAAUAAUAUUUAAACUAUGAUUUUGAAUUAUUCUAGUAUUGGUAGACCUUUCAAUAUAUGUAAACAUGUAAAUAUUAAUAAUUAUUAAUUGUGCUUCAAAAAUAUAAGUAAUGAUGAACUGAUAUUUCAUAAAAUUUAAUGUGCUGAAUAUCAUUUCUUCCUAAAGUUAAAUUAGUUUUUUUUCUGUGUUUGACUUCAAAUAAUUCUUUACAUUAUAAUAUUCAUUGUUUGGUUUUAAUAAACUUCUUUCCAGAGAUAUGUGAAAUAUACAAAUAUUAAUACUUUAAUUGAGUUUAUAUAAAAUAAAAGUAACGAUAAAUUGUGAUUUUCAAAAUUUGAAAAUGAUAAAUAUCAUAUAAUUUCUAAAAUUAAUUUAUUUGUCGUUUUUGAAUUCAAAUUUAAAUUGUAGUUUUAAACUGUUUUGUUUUUAAAAAAAUCCCUUUCAAAGAUAUGUGAAAAGCAAUUAAAAAUAAGUACAAUUAGUAAUGGUCAGUAGUUGAGUUUCUAAAAAAUAGUUAGUGACUAAUUAAACUUUCACAAAGUUUAUUAUGUUAAUAUCAUAUCUUUUCUAAAACUAAAUUGACUUGUAUUUUUCAUGUUUGAAUGCGUAAAAUUUGUAAGUGAGCGUUUUAAACAAUGUAGAUAUUAAAAGAAUAUUAGUGGCCAACUGUUAAUUGAGUAUUUACAAAAAAAAACAAAAAAAAGUAUCAAUGCCAACUAAUUGAGUUUCCCCAAAAUUUGAUAUGCUAGUUAUUAUACCAUUUGUAAAACAUAAAAAAAUCAGUUUCAGUGUUUGAAUUCCCAUUGUUUCCAACUGCAUAUUAGUUGGAUUGUAGUCACUAGAAUCCUAAUAGCAAUUUAAGGAAAGUUAAUAAAGUCCAAAAAAGUAAAUAUAUAGCCUUCUCUCUCAUAAAAUACAGCCAAUAACCUUCUCGUGGUCUUCUGUGCCAUAAAAAUCAUUAUAUACAUUCAAACACCAAUUUAAGGCCACAUAUACAUAUAUAUGUAUGUAUGUAUCUAUUAGCAUUCAUAUAUACACCUCUCUCUCUCCUUGUGUGAGUGGUGAGAUGGGUAUCCCUAUAAGGUGCAGCAUCGAACCAUCUGCAACAUUUUGACUCGUUUUCUUUUGUGUUUUUCUAACAUCUGUCUCUUCCUCACUCGAUCUCCCUCUCUUUUCUUUUUCAAUCUCCCCAACGAACCUCCCUUCAUAACUCUCUUUCUCUCCCCGGGAAAUAUGGAUAACUUCUUGCCCUUUUCCUCUUCUAACGCAAACUCUGUCCAAGAACUCUCCAUGGAUCUUAACAAGAAUCGCUCGCACUUCUCCAUGGCGCAGCCUCAGCACUUGUUGCCGCCUUACUCGUACGUUGCAUGUCCGGCACUUGAUCAGACGGGGACCAUGAAUCAUCAGCCUCUUCACUCAUCGGAUGCUUUUCCUCAGAUCCCGGUUGUACAAACCGGAGGUGAAUUCGGCUAUUUGGUUUGUAAGCCCGGUGUGAGGCAGGAACGAGGUGGAUUUCUUGAUCCACACUCCACUAAGAUGGCUAGGAUCAACAGGAAGAAGGCGAUGCUAAGAUCAAGAAACAACUCUAACCCUAAUUCUAGUUCGAAUGAGUUGGUUGAUUCAAGGAGACAAGUGGCUCUUACCAUGAAAAAUAAUGCCGAGAUUGCUGCUAGAAAAGAUUUUUAUCGAUUCUCCUCAUUCGAUAACAAGGUAUGUAUUUCUUUGGCCCAAAAUAAUGGAAUAUAUGCGAUUCUACAUUCAUAACAUGAUAAUGUUUUUGAAUUUUUUGUUGACUGUACGUAGAAACUUAGGGUUUUGUUGGUGAAGCACUUGAAGAACAGCGAUGUUGGGUCACUUGGGAGGAUUGUUCUACCAAAGGUGUGUAAAUUCUUACAUUUCUCGUAUUCUUUAUGGUAUAACUAAUGUUAAAACAAUUUUGUAGAGGUAAAAACACUAAAUAUGUUGGGGAUGGAUUGAUGAAAGAUUAUCAAUUACGUAACUACGAAUUUUAAAACCUCAAUUUCAUGAGAAAGUUUUUUAAAAGUAAUAUAAUUUCUGAUUUGGCUAUUACCAUUUAAAAAGAUAUUAUCACUGCGACCACAUAUUCUCUCAUUAUGCAAUUUCACACAUUUUCCUCCAUUCAAACCAUCGUUGUUUAACCAAUGAGAAGUUUAGUCUCUAAAACACAUGGAAAACAAGAGGGAUUUUUUUUUUGAUAAACCAGAGGAAAAUUAAACAUGAAAACAAAAUGUGAAAUAUAUAAUUGUUUAAUCAAUACGGAGUAUUUUCGUUCAUUCCUUUUGGUGUGAGCUUUUAUGUUAUACAGUACUAUAGUAUUUUUUUUAGUUUAGCAAGAAUAUGGUGAUUAAAAAUCUAGUUUAAAUUUGGUUUAUCUAUAUUUUAAAUUUGAAGGACUAAAAGUCAAAGUUUUGGAAUGAGCACCAAAAAUGAAAUACAGUAUGAAAAAAAUCGAAAUAGAUUGAUCAUAGCUCCUUCAAUCUAAUAUUCCGUGUAAAAACUUACUAACCAAUGAAUAAAAAACACGAGAAGUAAACGAUUUUCUAGUUGUAGUUAGCUAAAAUGGUUAAUAAAGUGGUUAAAAUGACUUUAUUUUGAAACGGGGUUGAAAAAAAGUCGUAUAUAUAUAUAUAUAUAUAUAUAUAUAUAUAUAUAUAUAUAUAUAUAUAUAUAUAUAUAUAUAUAUAUAUAUUCCUUUCCUAAUUAAUUGCCUCUUAAAUGGCAUUCCUCGAAAUCAUUAAGGAAAAGUAGAAAACAAACAAAAAGCCAUUAUGGAUUAAUUGGGGUAGUUUACUAGUUUUAUUAUAGAAAAAUCAUAUCAAAUCAUCCCCUUUAUCUAUCUUAGUAAGAAAAUAAUUAGUUUAUUUGCACCCAAAAAAUAAUUAGUUUAUUAAAAAGUAACUAAGUAAAUCAUGGGUUUGGAGCGCAGAGAGAAGCAGAAGGAAAUCUUCCGGAGCUAUCUGAGAAAGAAGGAAUGGUAUUAGAGAUGAGAGAUGUUGACUCUGUGCAGUCUUGGUCUUUCAAAUACAAGUGAAGUCUCGUUUCCUUUCUCUUAUAUAUAUAUUGAUAGAAAACAUUUUUAUGUUCCAUUUUUUAAUCUACCAAUAGUUUAACAAACCUUAUAAGUUCUUUAGUGAUUUUUUGUUAGUGGUAUGUUUUAUAGCUUGGAAUUUGUUAUAUCGGUUUCAAUUUAAUAUUUUUGGAACGAGAGAACUUAUAAGGCUUGCAUUAAUGUGAAACGCAGGUACUGGUCCAAUAACAAGAGCAGAAUGUAUGUCCUCGAAAACACAGGUAAUUAAGGAACUACUUUGUUCUUUCAACAAGUAUAGUUUUUUUUUUAAUUCUUUUAUGUUGAAAAUUAAAGGAGAAUUUGUGAAGAAAAAUGGAGUAUUGAUGGGAGACUAUCUAACAAUCUACGAGGACGAAAGCAAGAAUCUCGUGAGCUCUCUUAUUAACUCUCUUUUCUUAUUUUAUUUUGGAAAAGACAAAAUGUUAAAUAAUGAUUGAUUAGUAGUCCAAAAUUGGAAAUUUGAAAGUGUGUCAUUGAAUUUAGUUUGUUCAGCAUCCAGACAAAAAAAAUUAAUUGCAUUUUUAUGAUUUUUAAAUGAAGAUUUUAAUUGAUGUUUCUGCUAUAUUUGAUCAUAAAUAUAACAUUCUACUAUCUAAUUAUUACAUCUUUGAAAUAGUAGUCAAGUAUUUGGUGAUGUUUUAUCCUUUCCAAAAAAUAGUUAUUUUGAGCAGCCGAUUUAUUUGGUUUUGAAUACAUGCAUUGUACCAACCGAACAGUUUUUCAGAAUUUGGUUUUCUAUUUGAGUUAUUAUUUUAUGUAUAUAUAUAAAUAUAUAAAAAUGAUAUUGAAGUCAAUUUUGACUAGUAUGGUUUGAACUAAAAAAAAGAAAAGUUAGUAGUCUUAAUAUUUCUGUUUAUCUUCACAGAAUAUUUUUAUCAAAAUUAAUUUAAUAUUAAUGCUAAAAAAAAAUUUACAUAUGUAAAAAUCAAUACUGAAAGUAUAUAGUUAAAGUCCUAUACAUGACUUGUUGAAAUUUAAUUGAAUAAUGUUUUGGUCAACAACAUAGAACUUAUUAGAGUUUUUUUUUUUUUUGGUAAAAGAACUUAUUAGAGUUUUUUCAUGCUUAUAUUUGGUUUGGUUAUUAAAUAAUUUUCUAACAUUUAUUUCUCCUAAUUGACCAAAAUGAUCAACUGCUUUUUUUUUUUUUUGAACAACCCAAAAUGAUCAACUGCUAAAACAUCUUAUAUAUGUGUAUAUUUGUUUGGCUUCAUUACAGUACUUCUCCAUCAGAAAGCACCCACACAAACAAAAUGAUGGAAGAGAGGAUGAGUCGAUGGAAGUUAUCGAGAUGAACUUCUAUGAAGAUAUAAUGUUUGAUUACAUACCAAAUGAUGAAGACGAUUCCAUUGCAAUGCUCCUCGGAAAUCUAAACGAGCACUAUCCCUACCCAAAUGAUCUUAUGGAUCUCACUGUCAAUCUUGAUCAGCAUCAGCAAGCCACCUCCUCGUCGCCACCUGCUGAUCACAUGAGCUCGAACGAUUUCUUAUGGUGAUGUGAUGGACGUUGAUAUAGAUUCCCUUUGAGAUGAUAUACAAGGGAUAAAAAGAAAAGAGUAUCAUAUUCAUAUCCAUAUUUGUUUGAUAAAAUGUGUUUGUUCCCAAUCUAUUAUUUAUGAAAAACUUAUUUGUGUUUAGCUCCAGAUUAAUUAAAUAUUUUUCAUUUGACUUUUAUACUCCAUAAGCAAAAUUCACAAGAUGUGAAUUCAAUAGUAUUUAGUUAGGCAAUUGUUGAAGUUUUUGUGUAGUUUGAGAGAGGUUCAGAUAAUUUCCUCUUUUAUGAAAGUAUUGGUUCCGCCAUUAUCUUUCCUUUAGGAUUCACCAAUUUUUUUUUUCUGGAGAGAUUUGUUGCAAUUUCCUCUUCGUCGUUAACCGCUUCAGCUGUUAUUGACCAUGAACUGGUGGCUUAUUGAAAAUUGCUACCAAUUCUGAAUCCAGCCAGGUGUGAGUUUUUGGUAUUUCGUAUCAAUCUCUCAAAUAUUUUUUUUAAGCCUUUAUUUUUGUAUUGUUUACUAGUAGUUUUCUGCGCCAUACACAAAACUAAACCUUUCAAAAUAACUAUAUAUAUAUAAAUUUACUUUAUUAAUUAAAAAUAAAAAUAAAAAUAAAAUCAUGAAUAUUUAUUUAUUAUUUAUUUUCCAUUUGACUUAACAAUAUUUACUUUAUUUUUUUGUUUACAUAAGUUAACUGUGUUUCAAAAACAAAAGUUAAGUAAAAUUAUGCUAAAAGUAACAAUUUUGUUUAUCUUAUAUUUAUAUAUUUUAAACAGUAAUUCUGAGUAUAUAUUUUGUUUAAAUUUUACCUCAUCAAUAAAAUGUAUUUAUUUUAUUUAUCUCAUAAAAAUAAUAUCACACAACAAUUAUUGUAUAAUAUUUAAAUCCAAUAAAUUUAAUAGAUUAAAAAUUCAAUUAAUCAUCUAUAACUUAACUGUUCAUAAAAUAUUAAUUAAAAUUGUCAUAAUUUAUUUGUUAUAAACUUUUAUAAUGAAUUUUGAUGAAAAUAUAUAAUUAUACAUCGACAAACAAAUUAACUAUACAAAAUUACUUACUUAUUUUAUCAUAAGUUCAUUUUAAUAAAAAAUAUAUUUACACUUAUAUUUUUUAGAAUAUUAAUAUAAUUAUAAAUAUAAUUUACAAAAUGUAGCCAGAUUCUGUAAUAUCUUAUUUUAAGAUUUUUAACAAAUAUUAAAAGUUUUAACAUUAAAUUUGUAUAUGUCAUAGUAAGAGGGAGAUAAUCCAUUUCAUCAUUUUUCUUUCAAAAUAAAUGUGGUGAUGACACACAAACAAAGUUUAGAAAAUUAAUUCCUAAAUAAUGUUUUGGGGAUCGUUUUAUUUACGUAUUAUAAAACCUUGAAAGUUAGAGGUACUUAUUAGUUAGAAUAGUUCAAUGUAAACUAGUGUUAUUAUAACUGGAACUAUUUUAAUAAAUUUAGUUGGAUUUUCUAAUACAUUGUGGAUUAAUUAGUAUGUAUUAUAAUGAAGUUAUUUUAAUGAUAAAAUAAAAACUAACUCAACAUUAAUUUGUUAUUAAAUGUUUUUGAUAAACUUUCUUUUUAAAGAUUUUGACUAACCUUUCUUUUUGUCGAAUAUUUUUGAUAUUUUCAAGUAGUAUGUAGCUUUAAAUUUUCAGUUUGAAGUUUAAAAUGUUUACUUAAGUUAUUGUCUUUUAAUUUUGGUUAUGUAUAAUUUUGGAUAAAUAUGACAGAUUUUAGAUUAGGAAGAAUCAAUCAACUGAACCGAAUGAUAAUCAUUUUUUGGGAAUUUAUAAGUAUAAUACAUUUAGAACCAAUCCAGAGUUGAGUAGAACCGACUCGAAACCGAAUUAAAACUCUAUGGGUAUUUAUAUAAAUAUAAAACUUAUCUACAUACAAGACAAAUCCGAUAAACACUAACCCCGAAAACUUGAAUGCACAUACAUAGAUAUUGGAAUAAAAACUUAUGAUGAUGUAAUGUAAUUCAUGAAAAAAAGAAAAGGAAAUAUAUAUCUUGAUUAUUUUCAAAUCCAUCUGAAAACCUUUUUAUUUAUUUUACUUUUGUUAUAGAUAUAAGAAUACAUUAAAAUAUAUUAAUAUCAGAAUCUAAUAAAAUACAAUAGACUUCGAAUAACAUAAAGUUUUAGGAGGUGUUAUAAUUUAAUGGAAAUUCAUCUUAUAUAUUAAAACAGAAGUUACAACCUUGAUUCAUGUGUGAUUUAUUUUAAAAAAUGGACCUAAUGGAUCUAUUCAUAGAAAUUCAUAUUACAUUUUAGUUCAGACUAAUAAUAAAUAUAAUUUUUAAAAUAUAUUAAUCAUAAUAUCUUUUGAUAUCUUUUCAUUUUAAAUAUAAAUAUAUUUAUUUUAAAAUUCUAACAAAUCUGUUUAAAAAGAUUUUUACAAGAUCUUUAUUUUCGAAAUUAUAUUUAAAUAUUUUUGCUAAUUUCAAAAUUAGUUUAAAAUAUUAUUAUACAUUAAUAUAUUCAGUUAUAUAAAACUAAAAAUAAAAAAUCUAUAAUAUUUUAUUUAUUAUAUAAUCAUAAUCAAUCAUAUUAAAAUAAAAUUAUUAUAUUGAGCUAAAUAUAAUAAAAUUGUAUUAAAUUUAUAUAUUUAUAUAUUUUAUUUUCGUAAUUACAAAUUAUUUAUGUUCAAAAAUAAAAUCUAAUAUGUUGGUAAGAUGGGUUAACAUUAUCAAACUAUAUAAUACAUGUAUAAAAAUUAACAUGUAUUUCUUUAAAGUUAAUAAUAAAAAAUCAUUGUAACUACUUUAAUCAUAAUAUAUUUUCAUUUUAAAUAUAAUAUAUAUUUAUAUAUUAUAUUUUAAAAAUUCUAAUAAAUCUGUGUAAAAUUAUUUAAACAAUAACUUAAUGUAUUUUAAGUUAUCGUUUAAAAAUGAAAAUAAAUAAAUUAUAUCCUAUUUUAUCUACUUUAUAGUCAUGAUCAUGUUAAAAUAUAAUUAUUAUACUAAAAUAAAUAUGAUAAAAUUAUAUUCAAUUGAUAAAUUUAUAAAUUUUAUUUUCAUAAAUAUAAACUAUUUAUUUAAAAUAUAAUAUGAUGAUAGAACAGCUUAAAAUUAACAAACUAUAUAAUACAUGUCUAAAAAUUAACAUAUCUUAGACUUUUAUAUAUACAAUAAUAAAUUAUCUAAAAUGAAUAAGAAUAAAAAUAUUGGAAAAAAAAAUCCAGUUUUGAAAGACGGGUCAGAAUUUAACAUAAAUUAAAUACAAAAUAAUUUUUAAAUAUAUUUUUUCAUGAAUAUAUUAAUUUGUUUAAUAACUAAAUGCAAAUAUAAUAAGAUAAAUAUAUAAUAAGAAGUGGUAAAUACAUACGGGUUUAAACAAUUAAUUAAUUAUAACAUGUAAAUUAUAAAAUUAUUGUAUUUGAAAUAGUUAUAUAAAUAUUUAAGUAUAUGAUUAACAUUAAAAAUAUAUACCACUUAUAUUCGAAAACAAUAAUUUAUGUAUAGAAAAGUGAAAACAAACACCCGUACGGUUGCACGGGUCAAAAUCUAGUGUAUAUUAAAUUUAGAGUCUUUUUUAUUUAAGUUUAGAGUCAAAUCCAGUGUUACAAUAAAAUCUCAUAUUAUCAAUGUAUAUUGGAUUUUAUUAGAUUCCAGUUAUGAGAGAUUUUUCUGGAUUUAAUAUACUUUUAUCUGUAGAAGACUAAAACAAAUACAUUUUUUUCAUAUUUCCAGUAUUUAAAAUAUAUAACUUCACUAUUUUUUGUCUUUUUAUAAACUAUAUUAUUCAUUUUUUCAUUGUAACAUUUAGACAUGAGCAUUAAGAUUUCCGGGAUGAGUUUGAAUCGGUUUUUAUUGGGUCCAUGUCUUUCAGAGAGAAGUUUGGACCCAUAUAGAUACCCAUAAAUUUAUAUUUCGUGUUGAGUCGGUUCAACUGAUUAUGGAUCAGGUCAGAUCGGUUUUAAAUAGUUUAUACCUAAAAUAUCUUAAAAAUUGGGUAUAUUUCUAUUUAUUUUUUCAGUUCUUUUUAAUCUAAAAUUGGUCAAAUUUAUCCUAAAAUAAGAUAAAUAACCAAAAUUGAGUCAGAAAAUAAUUAAAAUUAAAAUUUUAAGAUUCAAGCUGAACAUUGAAAGUUAUAUACUACUUGAUUUUUUCAAAGCAAAUUCUACAAAAAGAAUGGAUUGGUAAAAAAAUAUGCAAUGAAUUGUUUUACUAAAAAUAUUUUAACUGAAUUUCAUUUUCUUAUUGAAUUGAUAAUACGAAGAAAUUUAUUAAAAUAUAUAAUAAUUUAUCUAUCAUGUAUUAGAUGAUUUAACUAAAUCUAUUAAAAUACUUGCCAUUACAAUUACACUAAAAUAAACUGAUCUACUCAACACCUCUUCAAUGUAUUUCAUAUUCCAUCUAAUAAGAAUUUAAUCCAAUAACACCAGAUUUGAUUAUAAAUUUAAAAUACAUUCAACUCUACUAAAUUAUAAUACUCCAUCCUUUCGAAAAGAUACAUAUUCUAGAAUUUUUUUCUGUUUCAGAAUGUUAUAUUUUUGUAUUUCCAAUGCACUUUUUAUCAAUUAAUAAUGAUUAAUUGUAAACUUUAAGAAAAUUAAUUGCAUUUUCUGAAUUUUUAUUGGUUUAAAAUUAUAGGAAAUAGAUAAUGAUAGAAAUUAUGUAUUUAAUAUUGAAAUUAAAUAUGUUUUAUUAAUCUGUGUGAAAAACCUAAAAUAUGUAUCAUUUUGAAAUGGAGGAAUUAUUCAUUAACACCAUCUUAAUGCAUGAACAAAAACAAAAACACAAAAUAUAUAAAUUCAAUUGAAUCUACAUUUACAACAAUAAUCAAACUGUAAUCCUGUAGUUACAUUGUCAGAAGAAAUUCUCUUACUACAGCGCUAAAAAAAACUCAAAUGAAUUUUUAAGAUCUCAUAUUACUAUUUAAUAUAUAAUUUAGUUAUAUAAUUAAAUAUCCUUUUCUUUUUAAGUGACCAAUCCAAUUAUAAAAUGAUACUCCCUCUGUUCCUAAAUAUAUGAUGUUUAGAAUAGUUUUUAUGUUCCAUAUGUAGGAUGUUCUCAUAUGUCUAGGUAGCUUUAAGUUUAUCAAAAACUGUGUAACCAAUCAAAUUUAAUAGUUUUAUUUUGUAAUUGGUUGAAUAGUUUUAAUUUAAAAAUUUAAUGAUACUUUUUAGAAAAAAAGUAACUUUCUUAAUAAGUGUGUUUUACCUAAAAAUCUUAUAUUUAGUAACAGAGGGAAUACUAAACAUGUUUAGUAAUAUGUAGAAUUAUAGUAUAAUUGUAACCACAUAUAUCUUGCAAAAUUUUUAAAAAAUCUCGGAUUAUAUUUUUGAAACCUUAAAAUCAUGUAUAUAUAUAUUAGGGCGUAGUCCAAACUCUUCCCAGUUUACAAAAUUAAAGAGAAAAAUAUAUAUUUUUUUUUUAACACCAAGAGAAAAAGUAUAAUUUGCAUAAAACUAAGUAUUUUCCUUUGUCUUGUAUACUAUAUAAACAUGUGUUAUUAUUAUUCCUUCCUAAGCAUGACAUGUUUAACGCAUACUUAAAUAUCUUGCUUGCAACACAAGAACACAGAAAAUGGUACCUAACCUCACGGCUUAGAAUUUCGGUCCUGGAUCUUGGACUCCGUCGACGUGAACUGUGUCUCCGGUUACUGGUUCAUAAUGGUGCUGAUCGGUGCAGUGCUGGUGGUGUUGAGACGCAAUGCCUCCCGUUUUACAUUCACUCCUAAUCUCGGCUUGCCACGUUCUCCACUGUUUGGGUCUGAUACCUAAUUCCAAGUUGCAACGAGACUACGUCGAUGGCCUCCUGAGAACACAUCUGCAACUCAAGGUGCAAUUUAAGUGACUCUCAGAUCAGGGCGGCACAAAUCGGUGGUCGACGGUGGUGGUUGGUGGUGAAGAUACGUGAACGAUGGUGAAUAUAUACAUGCAGCUGUUGAAUCGGCUGGGAUAAAUGGUGGAUUACGAUGACUCCUUUGAUGACUACAUGGAUCGCCGGUGACUUGUGGCUCAUGGCGGUGACUGGUGGUGGUGAUGUGUCACAUGUGGUGAUGUAACCGUGACUGAACCAGCAGGUGACUUGGAGCAGGAUGCCUAAACGAACUAGAUGAGCUAAGUGACACUAAUUUGGAGCACAAUGAGCUGAAUGAGCUAAGCUACAUUGAGGUUGUUAUGGACCGAGCUAGAAAGGAAGAAAUUCGGCCCAAACCUGAUGAUAGAUCAGAGUUGUCUUUCUCAGUCAAAAAGGAAACAAAGAUCCAUUCUCCUUGUCUAGAGGUCCAAUCACAAGAUCACAAACCAAGAGACUGAAGGAAGCUAUUUAGUGUCUGUUUACCUGAACCAGGAUCAAAACAAUUCAAAAAUCAAGUGAAAGUGCCAGCCAAUUUAUUCAACUAUUCAGUCUCCAAGACCACCUAGGAUUUAUCUCUUUCGUUUUUUGUUUUCUACAAGUCAUUAGGAAAACUGUGUUCUUUUCUUCUACAUAAACUCAUGUAUUGUUUCUGAAUUAUUCAUUCACUUUUGUCAAACAAAUCUCUUUUGUCUCUGUAAAUCCCUUGUUUGUCUUUGAACAUUGACUACUUAGGAGGGAAAUCUCUGCAAGCAACUAUCGUUUUUUAUCAUUGUUUGUGGGAACGCCUCUCACGAUCAAAGACAAAUCUACACAAAUGUUGAUCAGUCAUAUAUCCACACUGCAGUCCAUCCAACCCUAUUCCAUCCCUCAUCAAUUUAAUUGUGUUAGUAACCAAUUUGAUCAUCAAAACCAUCCUGAUUGUGCUAGUAGCCAUCAGAAUAUCAACCCAAAAUCGACCCUCAAGAUCAAUAAAAGGGAUUAAACCAUCAAGGAUUUCAUUAAGUGUGUCACAUGUGGUGGCUCCUCUCUCACUCACGCAUCAAAAAGGGCUGCUGCCCUUUGUAGAAGGAGAUGAAUACACAUGUAUAUAUUAAUAUAUAUGUAUACGGUAUACCACGUUUAGUGAAAGGGAAACAAAUAUUUGAACCAGACUUGGUUUAGUAAACCAGGUUGUUAACAUAAAGUUUUGAAAUCAAAUUCUUCUUUCCGAAAAAUCCAUAUUUUUCUAGAUGUUAACAUAAAGUUUUUUUCCUGCUCAUUAAUUAAUUUACUUUUUUGUCAAGUAACGAAUUUUAGGUAAAAAGAAUUGAAAUGAUGAUACUUUUUUUGUUACUUUGAUGUAUGUUAUUUUAGGUGCAUGAAACAUAGUGAACAAUCAUUGAGUUCUUUUCUAGAUCCAAUUUUUCACCACGUCAAUAUCCAACUUUGGUGUAGCAUUUGAGUUGAGAUCGUUGAUUUCGAAUACACUUCUAUAUAUUGUGGAUGCGUCUUCGUGCUAAUAUUAUAUCACGGUCAAUAAAAUUUAGUAUUUAGGUUGUUAACAGAUAUACAUGUUGUUAGUUCGUUGUAUGUUUCCGUCAGAAGGCUUUGAUUGGUAAUAUAUAUUACUAAUGACUCAAAAAAUUUACCAAUCAUGAAUUAGUUUUAAAUUUUUUAAGUUGUGUUUAAGUUGUAAUAUAUUAUUAUUCAGUUACAAUUUGAAGUUAUAACCUUUGUAAAAAUAAUAAAUCAAAUAUUAAAUUGUUGAGUUAGAGAAUUUUUUAGGUUUUCUAAUAACUACCCACGUCCAUUUUCUUAUUUCUAACAAAUUCAACAAUUUACAAAAAAAAAAUGAUCAUAUAGUUCAAUACAUAGUUUUAUUAAUUAAUAAACUAUAUUUAAUCAUUUAACAUUAGCUAUCUACUAGUUAGCCAAAGAUUUCUCAAAAAAUAAUCACUAAAAUUAGUUAAUCAAAACUGUUUCUAUAUUUUAAUUGUUAAUUUUGUUUGGUAACUAAAAUUUACGUCCAUAAAUUAUAUAUAUAUAUAUAUAUAUAUAUAUUCAAGUUAAUAUAUUUUAUUUCUCUCUACAAUUUUCUUUAUUGAAAUUAUUUAUAUUAAUUUUAUAUUUCAAAAAUAAUACAUACUACCGUUUAUACAUCAAAAUUUUUACCUAUUAAUUAUGUUACUAAAAUAGUAACUUAUAAUACAGCAAUUUUUUUUGAAUGAAUCUGAAAAUUUAUUCAAUCCAAAUUUUUUGUUUUUACAAUGACUGCUUUUUUGUUUUUGACUUUGAAAGCUAUCAAAGGUUUAAAAAAACGAGCAUAUGUGAUGAAAACAGAGCAUGUAUCCAUCUGAUCUCUAGUUUCUUCUCAAACUAAACCACAACCCAUAGCACCAUCAUAUCUGCUACGAUCUUCUUCCCCAGAGACAAUAUGUGGUUUCGAACCGUUUUGUCAAUAUUUUGUUGGAUUUGUGUUUGCCCCAUGCUUACUUCACCAUGACAUCUUCUAUAUCUCUCCCACCAUAUGGUGUAUAUUGUAGCUUGAAAGACAUAGCGUAAUGUGAAGAGGGGAGUGUCAUCCUUUAAGAAACCCACGAUCAACUCAAGGAUUCGACUCCACUCGUUUGUAUAGCUAGAGCCCAGCAGCGCCGAAGUACAAAAAUCUACAACAAACUCACUAAAUAAAUCUACAGCUUCUACUCCAUAAUUUUUACUAUAAAUUACAUCAAAUCAUAAUUUUUAGCGUAAAUCAACUUUAAUACUAGCCUCAAUAAUAUACAAGAGACGUUUCACACAUUGUAUCGUUUAUCUAUUAAUGUGGUUUAUCUCUCUUUUUUUGGUGUCUGAUAUUAUGUGAAUGAGUGGCUAAACAUCGUCAUUAACUUUAACAAAUACUGCAAGUGAAAUGACAAGUAAGAUGGUAUACACUAAGGGUUCGACUGGUACCAUUCUGGAAUCAAGAAGAACGAAUAGAAAAGGAACAUAAAGGAAUUCAUUCUUAAAUUUAACAAGGAAUAUUUUUGUUUUUUAUUUUUCUACAAAAAAAAAAGAAUGGUAGGGAAUGAGAAGAAAAAAUUAUUCCUUAUGAAUGAUGAUAUUUUUUAGGAACGUUAGGGAAUACAUUAUUCCUCGCCGUUUUCUGGUUACCUUUCAUAUGCGUCAGACAAUUUGGGGACAUGAAUUACCUAGAUAUGUUUAGUUGAUAGGAGAAAAUUAUAAUGAGAUUACUUCAAAGUUUUGCAUAGAAAGGCCCAACUUAAGAUUAGAAAUUUAUACUUUCAGGCUUUAGCAAACUAAUUAUUUAUUGUUUUAAAAAAACAAAAAAAACAAACUAAGUAUUUAUUGAGACAAUCAAAACAAUAAUAAAAGGAGGAUAUGCUCACCGGAGAGCCCCUCCACGUCAGCACUUAUAUUUGACCAAUAGUGUGUGUUCGUUUGUCCACGACCAACAGACGCUAUCUGAACUUGGGCUUCACAUUUUAAUUGAUUCAUAAUAAGCUCAUUCUCGUGCGUAGUCCAAGAUCAGCCUCAUCUCACCACUUACACUUACGAUCCCUUGCGGCGAUUCAUCUCUUCGACGACUCAUCACUUCGCCGUUACUCCUUUUCCAUGGAUCGAUCAAUCGGCACCGUAUUCAUGAGUGAAUCAUCCUCUGGAGAACUCAUUAAUGUGUUCUUUUGCCUAUCUUCCUUCCAAUCUCUAUAUAACCUUCAUAUCUUCUCCAGAUUAGUUACACACACAAAUAUCUCAAACCAUGAAUUCCAACAGUCAAGCACCUAUUUCCGGCGAUGUUACCACGACGAAACCAAACGGAAAAGACGUUGUCUCCUCCGCCGAGCCUGUCAAACGAGUCGGUCAAACCGGAGUCUUUCUCGCCAGAUCUGCUUCUGGCGUUUCAAAAUCUAAGAAACCAGUCGGCAGAGCCGUUAUCUCCUCUACCGAUACGGCCAACCGAGCCGGUCAUCCCGGAGACCCUCUCGCUACAGCUAUCUCCGGCGAUUCCAAGUCCAAGAAAUCAAGCGGCAAAGCCGUUGCCUCCUCCGCCGAGCCGGUCAAAGGAACCCGUCAACACGGAGUCUCUCCCGCUAUCGCUGUCUCCGGCGAUCCAAAGUCCAAGAUACUCAACGGCAGAUCCGUCGUCUCCUCCUCCGCCGAAGUACUGUUCUUCAGAGAUGUCAAGUACGGACCACAAGAAGGCGAGCUAAGGUUUCGUCUGAUACAUUUUUGGGAGGCUCGGAACGCACUCACGAAGGUCCUGUUCGGUCUCGAAAUGAUUCUGAUCGACGGACAGGUCUAUUCCAACGUUUAUGAUUUCGUAUUGGUUUUGCUUUUCCGAUCAAAUAAUAACAUUCGUCGCUUUGUUUUUUGUUAUCAACAGGGUACUGUGAUCCAGGGGUUCAUCCCACCCAACAGGAUCGAGACCUAUUUGCCACAUAUGUUCGCUGGUUCCGUCUACAGGCUUAAUAACUUUUAUGGAUCUAAAAGCAAGACUGUAUACCGAGUUGCUGAACCAUUAGUGACGAUUGCUUUCUCAUGGAACUCUGUGCUCUCACCUCUCGAGAACAGUCCGAUUCCGUUUCCUGAAGACCGGUUUCGUUUCUAUGGUUAUGAGGAGUUUGAAGCGGCCUGUGACCUCAAGGGAGAUCUUUAUGGUAAUCUUCUCUCGAAAUCUUUUGUUUAUCACUUGAUUGGUUUGGAAUACGGGGUCCUUUAGUCGUGUAGGUUUAGGUUUGUUAGUAUGAUAUACAAUAAUAAGUAUUGAUUUAUCUUAUGGCAGAUUAUGUCGGUCACAUGAAACUGGUGAAUGAGCAGACCUUGAGUGAUAGUCUUGUGCUUGAUGAAGUCGAGAUAGCUUCUUCCAGGAGAAUUUUGGUCCAUGUCCAGACGCAUGAGUGAGUUCUCUUUUUAGUUAUCGAUAUCACGAGUUGUAGAACGCAUUGAUAGAUAUUUAGGAACACUAUAAAUAAUAAUUAUACAAAAAAAUAUAAAUAAUAUUUUAUAGAUAUGAUCUCGAGAUUAGAAAUAAAUUAAUUUCUCUUUGAUGGAUUAAAAUUAGUAUAUUGAGUUCUUUUUGUAUAAAAAAAAUCCUAACUACAUGAGUUUGGUUUGAUGCAGUGGUCCUGUCAUGAAGCUGUACAUAUGGGACAAGGUUGCUGUAGACUUCUGUGAGAAGUUUAAAGCGCUUGGAAAACCUCCAACCGUUAUUCUGGUUACAACUGUGAAUCCAAAACGUUUUGGAGGUUAGUAUUACCUAAACUUGAUUGUGGUUUAUUGAUGUUAGUAGGAGGCGUGUGGAACAUUGGUUAUUUGCUAAAUUUAUUUUUGUUUGGUAUGGAACAUUGGUCAUAUUGCAGGUGCCUUAACUCUGUCAUCUCUAUCCUCAUCGCGUGUGUUUUUUGAUAUGGAUGUUCAAGCAACCCGGGAAUAUCUGGCUUGGUAUGUGUUCAUUUAUUGAUUUGGAACAUCUAUUCCAAUUCACCGAGCGAUUAACUUUUAAAUUUUUUUUGUUUCUGAACAUUUACACAGGUUUGAAUCGAACACAGAAGUUGCCAAUAGGGUGUAUGCUGAGAUUGUCACCAAAGCCGAGACGGCUACUAUAGGGGAGCUGUUAUCUUACAUGAUGCAGGAAGAGGCAAAGGUACAAUAUUUGAUUCUUUAGUCCAUACGUUGCGCUAGCUUUAGUUAUUUACGAUCUUCUCUGAUAUAAUUCGCAGGUAGCUUGGUUUGAGUGCACAGCCACUAUUGAUGAUGUUGUGCGUGAUUCGGCAUGGUAUUAUAUUGCUUGUGGUGGGUGCAAGACUAAAGCAACCAAAGGGCCUACCACGCUUAUGUGUAAGAAGUGUGGAAAGACUGAGAUUGUCGGCACUCCAGAGUAAGAUUUGUAUUCAUAUUUUUUUUUUGUGUCAGAUACACUUUCAGCAUCCAUUAAUAAUGUUCUUAUGUCAUAGGUAUCUCACGAAGAUCUCUGUCUAUGACAACAAUGAUCACGCAAGCUUCGUGCUUCUCGGUGAUGCUAGGCGUGAGUUGACUGGGAUGAAAGCCUCGGAUUUGGUUGAGAGCUACUUUGAGGUAAUUACAUACCUAUCCAUCAUUUAGGUUUAGAAUGUAUUCUUAUACAUGAUUGGCUAUGUAUUAGGCCAAUGAAAACGUCGGAGAUGAUCAUGUCGUCCCGGUGCCACAGUCUCUUACUGAUUCCAUUGGACAGUCUCGCACGUUUAUUAUCAAGGUAUCAAAACACAACCUGGAUGGCAAGACCCAGACUUUGACUGUCACCAAAGUUCUCCCUUUAGAAGUUCCAGCACUUGAAGGCGACAUAGAUGAAGGCGUGGAAGAGGAGCCUGUUGAUGAAAAGGAUGGAGCUGCAGAUGGGAAUGUGAAAAGGAUAUCUGAUGGGAUUGAGUCGGGAGAGACCAAGCGUGCCAAAUGUGACUAAUAAGUUUCUGUUACUGUUUUCUUUGUUUUAAUAAAGACUAUGCUUUGUUUUUUCAUCUUCAGACUUUGCUUUUGUGUCAUUUGAACAAUCUUGGUGUUUGAUAAAGACUAUGCUUUGUUUUAUUCCUUAUUGCUUAAUACUUGGCUAAGGCUAGAAGUAGCUGAUUGAUACCUUUGAAUGCUUGGAUAAUAUAUUUACGUAUGCAUGCAGGUAUUACUUAGUAUAUUAGCAUCUACGUUAAUCAUAUAGUCAUUUUUAUAUGAAGCAUCUACUUUGUUUUUUUAAACUACAUCACUUGGUUAAUAUCAAACCAAUUGCGAAAACCUAUUCAAAAAGAAGUUGCACGAAUAAAUUUGUGAUUUCCUUAAUAUACCAUGUGGCUUGAAAAUGUGAUAUUAUAUGAUCACUUAACAUUGCUUGAAAUUAAUUUCUUUGAAACAUUUGAUUAAGAAAGAUAAUCAAUAUAAAAUAUAUGUUUUAUUGAAAUGUAUCUAUACUAUUAAAACUGCAACACCAAACAAAUAAAUAUCUUAACUCUUUCUAGAAGCCAAAAUGGAAAUUUGCUGAAACAUAAAAAAAAUAAAUAUCUUAACUCUUUCAUGAAUAUUUUUCGAAUUAUUUUGAAUUUGUUUCUUUAUAUUUUUUAAAUUGAAACUAUUUUUAUUUUAAAUUUGAAAGGAUUUCGAUUUUUUAUAACAUAUAAUUUGAAAGCUAUAUAAAACUUAAAACAUAUAAUUUCAAUUUUCAGUUUUCAACUACUAUACGUAAAAAAAUAUGAUUACGUACUCUUUUUUUGAAAAGAGGGUUUUAUAUUUUAAGUAAUUUAUUAGAGUACUUUUUAUUUUCGUGAAUUUAUUCGAGAUGAUAUCCCAAUCUUUUAAAAUAAGAGAAUUUAUGUUCUAUACAUAAUUAUAUUAUUUUAGAUUUUUUUCAUAUUUUAUUAGUUAAUUGUGUUACAUAUAAUAGAAAUACUUAAUUCAAACUAAAAUAUAUUUUAAAAAACAAAUUUUAAAAUUAGUUAAGUUAAGUUAAAAAUGAUAAAUAUAACAAAUUUAAAUAUAUUAUCCGCGCGUAGCGCGGAGAAAGGAUCUAGUGUCUAUAACAAAUCGACUGUUCAGUUGAUUUCCACUAUGAUGAGUGGUUUAUUUUGCAAAGCUUAACAAUAAUAAAUAUUUUGAUACUUAUAACGGGCUUGGGCUUUGGUCGGCAAGCGUAUUUGUAAUGUUCAUCCAUAGCUGUCUAUGUGAUGGAAUCUUCCAAUACUGAGGUUUCUCAAAUCUUGCUGAAGACGACAAAGCUGACAACAAUCUUAUGAUCCUUUUAGAAUGUGGAGUCGGAGGCGUAGAGGAGCUGGGUUAGCACAUGUAUUGUAAUAAGGAUCUAAUCUAAUAUAAGAACUAUAUAUUUUGAUUAGGAUAAGAGAAUAUACAAAAUAUGUGUUGUACUUUUUCCUAUAUAUAUAUAUAUAUUUAACCGUGUGAAUUAAUAAUACAUGCAUAGUUAUUCAUUUCCUUCUUAUACAUACAUACCAUAUACAUUUGCAAAAAAAAAACAUCUAUUGACGCAUAUCAAACAUCAAGUUAUUCACUGUUACAUUAAAUGUUAAAUUCAGGCUUUUCAUGGGUUUCAACUUAAAAACAAUUGGAUUGACCCUAAACAUUUAUAUAUUACUCAUGGCCUAGACAAACUCUUGAUGUGGGAGCUUAUACUCUCCACAUAUUACUCAUGGCCUAGACAAACUCUUGAUGUGGGAGCUUAUGCUCUCCACACCCUCUCUCGAGAUGAUGGUUCUUAUAACCAUUAAUCUCGACAAUAUCCCAGACUAAGAUUUAGUUCAGUCCGAACUCCGGACAAUUCGGGUCAAGGUCGGUUUUAGGAUCAAUCGGGCCUCUUUUGAUUGGCUUGAUCGAUUUUAAUUCAGUUGGGCAUGGUGUGUUCGGACUCUUAAAUUCAGGUUUAUCGUCGGUUUCCAAUUUAAAACCAAUUACUUAUAAUUAAAUUGACCUUAAACCUUUAUAUAUUACUCAUAUCCUAGUCAAAUUCCCGAUGUGUGAGCUUAUAUUAUCCACAUUAAUGUGCCAUUCUUUCGACGAUGGUGUUGAGAACUUCUUUUCACAAUAACUCAUCUGCAGCUGGGACUCCAUAACGUUUAUAUGGUGUGGAGUUGGCUGCACACUUUUUUAAGAGGGUUGGACUCCUCUUGUCACUAAUCAUCUUAUCGUAUCUUGAACGAUCCAGACCUGAUCCCACCUGUAUGUUUGCAUCGUGUUGCGUUUUGAUCAUCCAAUAAAGGCGGCUUUCGAACUGAAUUAACUAAAUCGUGUCGGAGUAUAAUUUUGUGAAAUUCUUAUGUUAUGAAUAUCAGUUGGAGUUGCAUUCACUCAUUAUAAUGUACUAGGUAAUUAUCCGCGCUACGCUGCGAAAUUUUUUUAUUUUUUAUUUUAUUGUUUAUAAAAUAUUUUCAUUUUAUAAAUGAAUAAUUAUAUUAAUAUAAGUUUUGUAUCAAAAUAUUUAUAAUCUAGACAUAUAUUGUAUUUUUUAUAUUAUGGUUAUUGUAUAAUAAUUAUUUAUUUGAUAUUAAACUUUAAAAGAUUAACUUCCAAGUUAAGUUUUUCGCACCUUUGUUCUCAAGUUGGUGGUGUAAAAUCUCUUUUUGUUUUUUGGGUUUUAGGUUCCAGUUUAUGGUCUAAAAGACUAUAAUACAAUCAUCUUUCCAUUCCAUAAAAGUAUUUCAUAUUUUUAUUUUUGUUUCAAUAUAAAUAUCAGUUUUACAUUUUAUAUAUUAAAAACUCAGUUUAAUCCUGAUUUUUACCUUUUGUAUCGAUCAAAUAAAAAAAUAAUGUGGAGUUCUAAUUAAAAAUAAUAUAGAGAACUUAAGUAUUUUCUUAAUAUUUUUUUUGACAGCCGCCUUAUAACCAUACUUAUGUAUUUGAUCCUUAUUUUGAUGUCGUAUUCUAUCAUUCUUACUAAAUGAUAUACGCUAAAUUUUUUUUACAUCACUUUUAUAUUUAUACUUUAUUAUUCAUUUAUUUUUCAAUUGAGUUUAAGGUUAAGGAUAGAAGUCCAAUUCAUUUCUUUUCCUACGCUUUUCUGGUUCACCAAAUUUAAAAUUCAACAUUGUAGUAAAUGUCCUUCACUUCACUUCAAAUUUAAAAUUCAGUAUUGUAGUAAAAUAAUUAGCCUUUGUUAAAAUAAUAUAUUUUGUAAAAUGAUUUCGGUAAAUAUUCCAUCACCAAUAUUAGUAUUGGCUUUUGAAAAUAUUUUACAUAGAAUAUAUUAUGUGAUAUUUUUGAUAAAAUUCGUAACAUAAAUGUCUGUGCAUUCUUUAUUUGUUGAUGUAGUUGCUCUUUCAUUUUGGUGAACUUGUCUACCAACUUUGAGAAUGAGACCAACCAUUUGCAUCAUAAUUAGACCAGAGCUAGUAUGAUCGACUCUUCUUAGCAGUUAGAACUAAAACUAGUAUGAUCGAUUCUUCUUAGCAGUUAGAACCAAAGCUACUAUGAUCGCCUCUUCUUGAGUUUCAAAAAGAAUUAUUCUUGAGGAAAUCUCAGCUUAGUUUGAGCUUAACAACUCAUCAAAUAAUCUUAUUGUCCGUUUGAUUGUUUGUGGCUUCUUCACCCGAUGGAAUUAUGGAUUGUGAAUUUGUGGUCUUCUUCAUGUUUGAAUGUUACUUAUGAUCCCUAAUAGUGUCAUGUUAUAUGGUCUUCGAUUUCACCAAUUUAGUAAUAAAUUGUAAUAAUCUGGUUUACUAUAAUCUGUUUGGUGUCUAAUUAUAUUUAUUUUUAUCAAAUCAAAACUCAGUUAUUUUAUUCACUUUAACCUAACCCGUAUAUUUCUAUAACCAUAUAUAUCUCCUUCUACCUAAAGCCAAGUUGUCAUCUUCUUUGUAUAGUAAACACUGAUGUUUCUCACCAGCACUCCUUUUUCUGAUCUUCUCUUCUUCCCCUACUUCAGACUUCGUUUGGUUAUUGGUUCGUCCCUCAAAUCCUCCUCUUCGUUCAUGUAUGCGAAAAAGACGUGUUCGUCUCCGAUCGUCACCACCACUGUUGUACAUAGAGUGAUAGAAUCAUCUCAUCUUUACUCUUGUUGGUAUUAUGUAGCGGAACCGAGACUUGGAGGAGAGCGACAUCGGGGCUGCCGCUCUUCACCAUCACUAGACGCUGGAAUAUUCACAAUCCACCGGAGAUAUGCACCGUUACCAUAAACCCUCGAACUCCCACCCAAAACCCUCUACACUUGCUCACAGAUCUCUUCGCUCUCCGAGAAAGAAGAUGGAGGAGGAUCAUGUUUUCUCAUCUGUAAUAUAACAUGAUUUUAAUGGUAUUUAGGAUAUCAUUUUGCUCAUUCUAAUCAUUCUAGGUGGCAUUUAGGUCUUUAUAUUUCAUUUUCAUACAUAAUUGCAUUUGAUAGGGUUUGGAAUGCACAUUUGAAAUUUUAUGGCGAAAUCAUGGGUUAAAUUUCACAUUAUGGAAGUUUUGGGCCCACUGUGAUGUUAACAAGAGUCCAGGGACCAACGCUGCAAAUUUACAAUUCUCGGUUGGGUUAAAUUGCACAAUUGAAAGUGCAGAGGUCUUGGGCCCAAUGUGUUGUUAACAAGAGUUCAAGGACCAACGCUGCAAAUUCACAAUUCUCGGUUGGGUUAAAUUGCACAAUCGGAAGUACAGAGGUUGAUUUGAGAGGGGUGUGUCUGCAUUGGGGUCAAAUCGUGAAUUGUCGAAAACGUUAAGGACCAUAUGUGCAAAACAGCUAAAUAUCACCAUUGUCGUUCUUCUUCACUUUAAUCCCGACGAUUCCGGCGGUUACCACGGCUGAUUCCGACAAUGGCGAUGGCUGAGAGUACAACGAAGUAGGCGACUUGGAUGAGAGACCCAUUGGAGGAUCUGUCGAGCUUCUCGACCGGAAGCUCAGCCACAACAGAGAUGAUAAUCGGAGUUGCAGAGGACGAGUCCGGUGCUGCUGGCUGGAACACGAACUGAACCAUCACCAUGAGCCAAGCCUGAGACGAAGAAGAAGAAUAUGGAGUUCACGAUUCAGGCCCGAGACACACACGACGAACUGCGACGGAGAAGAGGAAGCUCGAGACAGAGGUGAAUCAUGAGGAGAUGAAGCUGGCCACAAGGCGGGAAGAGAUGAGUCGAGCUAUGGACUCCGGUGACAGAAAAGGUGAACUGCAGUGAAGAUGAAUCGUGGCGGAAAGUUUGAAACAAUCGAAGGAUACGAUUUCAACGGAGAAGAAGAAUUGACGUGUACAAACAAAAUAAGUUGAUUGGUUCUUCAAGUUUUGUCAGUUUAUGACAUGUCAAUCCUUCAGUUAUUUUAAAAGCUGGGAUGUCAUGUUCUGGAGAGAACCUUGCUCCAUUAUUGUGUUGAUUUUUGUUUGGCUUUUAUAAAAAAAGAUUCCAGCCCCCAAGUUAGUUAAUUAAAUAUCAAUUCUCUUAUGGGUUUCAACGUACACUUCACAUUUGCCAAAAGUUAGAGCUUCAUGUGUUAAGUGUAGAGAUGUGUUUGCUGGAUAUUAUAGCAUCUGAAUCCGUCACUACUUUUGGAUACUGUGGUAGAAGAAUCAUCAUUUAAAAGAAAAAUAAACAUUAAUAGAUUGAAAAAUUGCAAGUUUCAUACACAUAAAAGCAUGUAAACUCAACAUCAUUUAAUGUUAUCUUUUCAAAACUAUAUUAUUAUCUUUGAAUCUACCAUAUGCUUGGAUAAUACAUAUAUACUAAAAAAUAUUCUUCUGUUUUAGAAAGUUAAUAUUCUAAAAAAUUAUUUCCGAAAAAAUACAUUUUCACAUUUUCUAUGUAUUUCUUUAUUAGGUAAUAGUGAUAAAUUAUAAAUUUUAAAAUUAAUUAGACUUAUUGAAUUUUUAUUGGUUUAAAUUAUAAGAAAUAAAUAAACACAAAGUAACAUAUUUAUAAUUAAAAUUAAAAAUGGUUUUUUUUUAAGAAAGAGAGACAGUGCAUUUUUACAAUGAUUUCCACAUUUGGCUUGAACUGUAGAGACAUUGGGAAUUAGAGUUACUCUACCAUUGAAUACCUAAGUGUCAGCACAUUUUAUAUAUUUUCAACCAGUAUCUAAUAUAUUAAAAUAGAAGUCAUGACUUUUUUUCAUGUGUGAUUUUUUUAGUUUGGACCAUUCCUAGAAAAUAUCAUAUUUUACAUAAGUUCAUUAUUAUUUUUUUAAUAUCUUUAUCUUUUCAUUUGAAAUACAAAUGAAUAUAUUUAAAAUGUUCUAACAAAAUAUUUUUAAAAUCUUCUUAGAAUCUUUUUAAAUUUACUUUCGAAAAUUAGUUAGUUUUAAUUUAAAUUGUCAUCAAAUAUAAUUAGAAAUAAAAAUUGAAUAUAGUUUUGGUUUAUAAACGAAAAUUUAAAUAAAAUGAAAUUAAUUAAUUUCAAAAAUACAUUUACUAAUAAUUUUUAAAGAUUUUGUUAGAAAUAAAUAUUUAUUUCUAUUAUAAUUUUUCAAAUUUGUUUUCUAAUAAAAUAAAAAUCAUGAUUUUUUGAUGAGUGAUAUUUUUAUUUGGACCAUCAUUUAAAUUUUCUAUUAAAUGUAUAUCACUAAUGCUAAUAUAUAUAAUAUUUUUAACUAAUUUAAUCAUAAUAUAUUUUAUAUCUUUUAAUUUUUUUUAAAAAAAAUUAAAAUUCUAACAAAUCUCUUGAAAAAGAUUAUAAUAAUAUCUUAAUUGUUAUAAAUUGAAUAUAAAUAUUUUCAACUAAUUUUGUAAUUAGUAAUGAAAUGUUACUAAAAGAGUAAAAUUAUAUCCUAUUUUAUUGAUUUUAUAAUAAUAUCUAUCAUUUUAAAAUAAAAACGUUGUAUUGAAAAAAAUAUGAUAAAAUUAUUUUAAAUUGAUAAGUUAACAUAUUUUAUUUUCAUAAAUAUUAACUAUUUAUGCUAAAAAUAUAAUAUGUUGGUAGAACAAGUUAAUAUUAGUAAAGUAUAUAAUACAUGUAUAAAAAUUUAUUUUAUCUUAAACUUUUUAAUAUAUAGUAAUUUAUUAUAUAAAAUUAAUAAACAUUAAAAAAUUCUAAAAAAAAUCUAGCAAUUUGAAUUACGGAUCAUAAUUAUAAUAAAUUAAAUACAAAUUUUGUUUACAUAUAUGUUGUUUCAUGCAUUAAAAAAUUUAAUUUAGUAAUCAAACGCAAAUUCAAUAGGACAAAUAUAUAAUAAGCAACAUAUAUAUGUGAUGAUUUUAAUUUACAGCAUGAAAACUAUAAAAUUAUUAUAUUUGGCAUAAUUAUACAAACAUUUAAAUAUGUGAGUAACAUUAAAAAUAUAUACACGCACGGUUGUGCGGGUGAAAAUCUAGUUCUAAAUUACGCAAUAAGUAUAAUGUAUAUACACCAAACAAUUGGAAGAAGCCGUAGUUUUGUUAUAACAUGCGAUGAUAUAGAUAAUUAAGAAAAAAAUAUGCGUUUAAUGAUGUUGAGGUGGGCAUCUAGGCAGAUCUUAAACAGUCUUUUUCAAAAAAGAAAUUCCACUAGGAGUAGUAGAUAAUAUAUAUUAUCAUGUUUUCUUGAAAAAUAUGGCAGAGUUUAUUUAUUUUAAAUAAUUUAAAAUGUAAGAAAUUUAAUACAGUUUUUAACGUUCUCCAGAAUACGCUCCUGGCUUUGCUCCGAAGGAUUAAUUGCAGAAUUUCACGUGAGCUUGUUUCAUCAAUAAGCAGGGACUCAGUGUUCCUCUCUUAAGAAAACAUCUAGAUCAGACUGUAUACUAUCUUAGUCUACAAUAAAAGCUAGUUGACUAAAAGUUAUUCGGUCAUAAUAGUUGACAUCUAGAUCUAUGCAGCACAAUUUAAGUUUAUUAAUUAUUAUACAUUAAUAGCAUUUGGAAUACAAUAUAAGUGCAUUUCUUAAACUUCUAGUCAGACGCUAUGUUACAUAGAAACGGAAACGGAUACGUGGAAGCGGAAGCGUAAGGAAGUGCAGAAGCGAGAUUUUUUAAAAUAUUAGGAAGCGGAUACGUGUUGGAAGCGUAUAUCCAUAUAUAAAUAUAUAUAUAUAUAUAUAAAGAUUUUUAAAUCAGAUAGUAUUAUCAGUUAUCGAAUCGUCUAUGAAAUAUUUUUUCUAAUUAUAAUAUCCUAAUAAAUGAUCGUUAAAAAUUGAUUUUCCACUAUAUAUCGCUAGUCGUUGCAGUGAGUGAAAAAAAACUAUGGUUAUAUAUUGACAAUAUUUAUAUAUUAAAAGAACUAUUAAACAAUUUCAAAGUAGUUUUCAUAUAUUAUACUAUCGAGUUCCAACUUCCAAGUACUAUGAAUUACGAAAUAGAAAAGACUACGACCAUCUCCAAUGGUUUACUCUAUUUUUCUUCUAAAAUAGAGUAACUCUAUUUUUCCUCUAAAAUAGAGUAACUCUAUAAUAGAGUUGGAUGUUGCUCUAAUAGUACUCUAUUUUAGAAUGAAAAAUAGAGUGAUGAACAAAAAAAAAAACUCUAUAUAUAGAAUAAAAAAUAGGUUUACACUAUUAUAGAGUAUAAAAUAGAGUACUAGUCGAGUAUUUUUACUUUAAAUUCUAUUUUAGAGGAAAAAAUAGAGUGGAGUUAGAGAUGCCCUAAACCACCGGAAACAUGGUCACCGUGGAUGUAAAUCUCAUAUAGUGGGGUGUGGUUCAUGAAACAUGGACUAUGCCUAUAAAACUUUGUAUAUGUUAAUGAAAUUUUUAUUAUAACGUAGACACAGAAAAUGUAAGGGCAAAGACUAACAGCCAACACCAAAAUGGCCAUAAAUCUUGGAGGAAAACGUGGUGAGUUCACGAUGCAUAUUUACUUUGGGCGUAUUUGGUUGUCUUUAUAUUAUCUGUAAAUACUACUUAAAAAGUAAAGAGAAUCAUUCCAACGACAAUAAUAUGAUUAGUCUACUUUGUUAGUGUGAUGAUAGAUGUUCACGUUAUCCGAUUUAAACAUCUUAACAAUUAUGGCUAAUAAUGGUGUUGUGCCUAUAGGGAGGCGUUAAUCAAAGCAUCCAAAGAUAGAUUUAACUUGAAAAUAAAAAUGAUUGAUAGGUAGGUCCAAUACUGAGCAUACCAUAUUUCCCAAAAUUAUGCAGGUGACACGAACAUGUAACAUGAGAUGUCGCUUUCCGGACAAAAAUAUAUCUCCCCCUGCGGUAAUAAUUUAAUUUACCCGUUCAUGAAUCUCCUAUAUAUUAUUUGAGAAGCAUUACAACUUUUUUUGUAGCCACGUGUCAUCACUAAAAUGAUUCUUAGAAUCCUUAGAGAAACAUGUUGGUCCAGCUAAAUAUAUAAUAAGCUUUUUAUUAAACCACAAUAAAUACAUUAUUAAUGUGAUUCAUUAUUUCCUUAAAUAAAAUUACGGAAUUGCCUAAUGUGGCUAAAGUAUAUAUGACAAUUAAUGAUUUUGAAUAAUAAAAAUUUGAUAAAAAUAAGUGUGUAUUAUAAUUAUAUUUGUUUAAUUUUAAGCUAUUAAAAUAAAUUAAACAAUCAUAGUAACCAUAUAAUAAAAAUUAAAAAAUUUCUUUAUAUAUUAUAUUUUGAAUUUUUAAAAAUGAGUAUAAAUUACUAAAACUGUUAAAAGUUUCAAAUUUUGUGAUCUAUGAUUUCAAAAUUUUGUUAUGACAUGAUACAAAUAAUUAAAAAUAAUAUAAGUUGAAAGUCUCAUUUAAUAAGUAUCAAAAAUAAAAGAUAUAUAAAUAUAUGUAUCAUUUUAAAUUAAACUAUAUGCCAUAUAAAAGUACAUAAAUAUUUUAAUUUUGAAAUUUACUUUGAGCAUUUUUUUGAUAAAAAUUUUGAAAAAAUAUUGACAACUUAAUUUUUUAAAAUAUUAUAAAUUACUUAAGCCAUUAAUCCCACAGUGAAAAUUUUGUUAUCACUAAUUUAGACUUUUUGCUAUAACAUAUACAAAUGAUAAAAAAAUAUGAGCAAAAAGCAUCAUCCAAUAAAAAUUAAUAUUAAAAUAUACCAUAUAAAUGUUACUAUCAAUUAAAUUUAAUUAUACAUCAUAUCAAAUAGAAAAAAUAUUUUUUUGAUUUAUAAAAUUUAUUUAUAUGUUCGCACCAAUUUAAUUAUAUAAGUAGUAAAUAAUGACUUUUUAAUUAUUCAAUAUAUAUUUUCAUAAUAUGUUAUAAAUAUAUAAUAUAUAAAAUAAUUUAUAUAUAUAAUGUUCAUUCCGCGCAAGGCGCGGAUCUUAACCUAGUAUUAUGAUUAUUGUGGGAAUGGGUGGGGUUGGACCUAUUCGUGAAUCGAGUAGACACAGUAAAAAUAAAUUCUCGCGACAAACGGCGGGAAAAAUAUCCAACCGUAAUUUGUUCAACUGUUUGCUCUUUGAAACAUUUUUGUUUAACUGUUUAGAGAAUUUUUUUUAUUAAUAAAUGACAGAUUCAAAUUUAAAUUUAGUGCUUAUUACGGCAUGAAUGACAAAUAUUAUAGAGUUAUUUAGGUUUUAAAAUAUAUUUUUUUCUAAAAUAAGAAAUGUUUUAUCCAAAUGUUUACAGUCUUGAUGAUUAUGAUAAACAAAUCUCAUUUUUAUUUUUUUGUUAUAUAAAAUAUGUUAAAAUUAAUUGAUAUAAUAACAAAAUACUAGGUAAUAAUCCGCGCUGUGUGUAGAAUGAAGUAGUUUAUUAUAUUAUUUAUUGUAUGUUGUACUAAAUGAUUUGAUGUACAGCUUUUUCUAGAGAUGAACGUUUGUAUAUCUAUUCAAAUUCAGUUGAUUUAUUCGGAUUUCAUUUUUUAGAGUUAGAAAUUUAAAUUAUAUUCGGAUAUUUACAAAUUUUGGUUUGGAUUUGGUUAAAAUAUAUUGAGGGUUCGGUUCAAAUUCGAGUUCGGGUAUCCAUUUUAAUUAUGUAUUUUUUAACAAAAAUCUAAAUAUACUUAAAUCUUAUAAACUCAAAAAUAAAAUAAUAUAAAACAUAAAAAAUUGCAUAAUGUAAGACUAAAUAUUUAAAUUUACAUAAAAAUUAGGUCAAUUUAAAUAUUUGGAUAGAGAACAAAUAAGCAUUUUCAAUAUUUUGAAUAUAUUAUGUUACUUUUAUUUAUUUACUUGUGACUAUGUUGAUAAUUUUUAGAUAUUUUAUAUUUUUGGAUGUCUAAUAGAUAUAAAUUGUUUAAAAUAAUUAAAAUAUUUAAGUAUAUAAUUGUGAUUUAGAUAUUUUGGGUAUCCAAAAUAUUUUAGUUUGGAUAAUAUUCGGAUCUAGUUAUCUGGAUACUAAACUUUUAGUUUGUGUACUUAAUCAGUUUUAGUUUGUUUUAGUAUUAUGUUAAAUAUACUUCGGUUUGGUUCUUUGGAUCCAACUAUUUUACUCAGAUUUACUUUAUUCUAAUAAUAUAAAGCAAACUAAAUAAAUGUAAAACAAAUAGUCCGAGCUUAUUUAACAUACAUAAUUAUUGGACCAUACUUUAAGAAUACCAAUAAAAAUGGUUGGUCGUGUCAAUAUUGUUGGGCAUGUUACAUAAAAAAAAUCUUUGUAAAUAUAAUAAAAUACGAUACAAUCGAGUGAAAGUGUUAGAGUUGUAUGAAAAAUAAUGUGAUCUCUUCAGUCGGCACCUGAAUUAUGUUUUUCAAUCGAUUUCAUGAACUUUUUUCUUUUAACGCUUUUCUGAUUUCUAAAUUUUUUAAAGCAAUUAGAUUAUGUUUCUAAUUCUUGUUCUGAUAUAAAAACUUUGUAAAUAUUUGGCUAAACUAAAGAUCCGACUUUGUGGUAUUUUUUUACCUCAAUUUAUUCAAUUUAUAACCAAUCACACUUAUUUAUUGCAUAUUUUUUUACGAAACUUCAACCUUGACUAAGCUCGGCAUGAUACGAAACUUUCAAUUUCUAAAAGCGUUCUCAUUCCAGUAUUUUAGUUGAUGUGAAUUUUAAUGUUUUUGUAAUUUUUUUUCAAAAAUUAUAUUAUUCAGUAGUUGGAAGUAAAAAUGUUAAAAAUGCUGGAAGUAAAAAUGAACUGAUUAAAAAAACUUAGUGUGAACAUAUUAAAUUAUCUGCGAUAGAGUUAAAAAAUUAGUAUGUGAACGCCUUAAUUGUUAAGUGAUUGUGAGGCCGACACGUCAUCAUACUCAAAUUGAAAUCGAUGUGAGGCGGACACGUGUCCAAUGUAGUGUAAAUCAUUAAAUGACAAUACUUCUCUUCUAAUGUAUAGGAGAUAUGAGUAAUUUGAAAUCUUAACUCAUUUGCACUGAUAUCUAUUAUAAUUUACAUUUAUAACAAUUAACUAAAUACUUUCGCUAAAUUUUCAUUAAUUUCUAAUAUAUGUAAAGUAUAAAAAUAUGUUUUUAAACUCCAAAACAUAAAUAACUUAUCCAAAUUAUUUUUAAAACAAAUGUAAGAAUUAUACAUUUCAUUCUUAUAAUUAGAUACAUUGUAUUAAUGAAUUAUAUAUAUUAUCUUACUUAUUAUUUAUAUAUUAUUAGUGAUUACUAGACUUAUAUAACAAACUUUGAUAUUUUAUAAAUAUCUAGUUUGUUAAUUUAUUAUUUAAUCGUACGAAAGUUUUUAUAAAUUGCCCCAAAACUUGAAUUUGAAUGAAAAUAAAUACUCCAAAUUUAACCAAAUACAAAAAUAACUUAAAAUUCUAGUGAAAUUACAGUUAUCUUUUAGGAUUAAACAAAAAAAAAAACUGUGGAUAUUUUUGCGGUUAUAACCUUGAAAGUUCUUCUUGUGACAAUGAAGUUUUCUACGAGAAGGCUUCUCGAAAAGUCUACUCAUAUAUUUAAUAUUAAUAUUAAUUUAUUAAAUUCUGAAUAAAUAUUUUGAUGGAAAAUUAAUUGAAACCAUGUAAAUAUAAACAAUUUUAAAUUAUGAAUUUUAAUUUUAAAAAUUGUUUUUUUUUCAAAUAGAGGAGUGAAUAUAUAUUUUAAAUUAUGAAUGUCCAUUGGUUAAAGUUUGGUAACAUAUGUUUAAGUAUUGUUAUAUUUUUAGAAUUAGAUUUUGGAAUCUUAAUAUAUUUUUUGAAAUUGAAAUUUAACAUAUACAAUUUUAUUUUGUAUAUAUUAAAAAUUGUAUAUGUUUAUGUUAUGUGUAAAUGAAGUUUUUAUUGCUAUUUAAAUAAACUAUUUGAUUUAAGGGUUUAGGGAUAGAAAACUUCUUAAGAAGUCAGUUAAUUAUGCACUAACAGAUUUCUUUUGAAAUUAAAGAAGUCUUCUGAAACACCAUAUAUAAUUUUAUUUUGUAUAUAUUAAACAUUUUAUAUGUUUAUGUUAUGUUAAAUGAAGUUUUUAUUGCUAUUUAAUAAACUAUUUGAUUUAAGGGUUUAGGGGAUAGAAAACUUCUUAAGAAGUUAGUAAGUUUUGCACCAACAGAUUUCUUUAGAAACAUCAUGUAAAUAUGAGAUUAGGAGACUUCUUCUGAAAGAUGCUAAACCGUAAUGCACUAUUAGACUUCUUGAGAAGUCUACUAAACUUUAAUGUACUAUCAUAGUUUUUGAGGGUUUUUCUACACCAAAUUUUUCUCACACAAUUUAAGCUUUGUCUCUUUAAAUAAAAAAAAUUAAACAUUUUUAUAUUUAUCAUAAAUUGUUGCAACAAAAAUGUAAUGUUUCUUUCUCUAAAACUAUAUUACAUCUCUCUAAUCUUUUUGAACUUGAAAACAGUAAACUUUAUAUCAAUUUCUCAUCUUUUUGUCCAUAUCUUUCUCACCACUUUAUCUUUUCUUUGCGGGUUAUUUAUUCCAUGGCUUUCAUAUUCCCCUUUUAAAAAUGUAGAUCUAUAAAUUUUAGAUAUAUAUUUUUUUAUGUUUUAGUGUGUUAGAUCCUAAUAAAACUAUAAAUUCACCCAAAUGCGAUUGUUUAUUUACUAUUAAAGCACUAACAUUUGUUUUUUUUAAGUUUUACUAUGUUUUGAAUAUAUUUUUAACGUUUUUAGAAAUGCAUGGUUUUAGAUCUAUGGAAAAUAAUCAAACUUCAGACUUCAUCAGAAGAUUUCAUUAGAAAUCUGCUAGACUUUAAUGCACUAACAGAAUCAUCGAGAAGUUUUCUAUGCAAACUCUCAAAAUUGGUAAACUUUAAUUUUUCACUAAAUAUUUUUGUGUGUUAAAUCUAAAUAAAUUUAUAAAUUUAAUUUAAUGUGAUUUUUUUCUUAUUAUUUUAGCUUUAAAUUUUAUUUUUGUGAUUUAUCUUCUCUGUGGAAAAAUGAGAUAUAAUUUUUGUUCUCAUUAGCAUAAACAGUCUCGAUUAAGACUCUGCUAACCAAACAAGAGAUUUUAUGUCAUUAAAGACUAAAUAAGGUGGUAGACUACGAACACCACGUAUAAGAGUGUUUGCCCUUUUUUUUAGUCUCGGGAACGUGGAGAAUCUCAACUGAUGUGAAGCUGUCCUUCAGUAGUUGGAUUCCUUUCAGGUAUGUUGUAAACACAUGUCAUUCUUAUGAUUCUGAAACCAUAUUAACCAAUUGAAAACAAUAUUUUGCAAACAUGACAUGAAAUUGCUUAAUAUAUAUUAUGUUGCUAUAUAUGUAAGAUAUACAUUUUCUAAAUACAAUUUUUUAAAAUUUAAUAUAUUUAUUUUUUUAAAACAAAAUAAAAAAUAUAAAGUAUUAUUUUGUUAUUAUUUUAGUAUAUUUCAAAGCUAACAUAUGCAUUGACAAAAAAAACAGAUCUGAUUUUUUUUUUAAUUUCAUACCUAGAUCCAUUGAGAGUGCGCAUUUAGCUUCUUUAAGCUCUUAGAACUUCUGAAUGAAGGAUAUACUCUCAUUAUGGACCAAAUAUUAUCAAAUUUGAGUAAUUUUAAUAAAAAAAUAAAAUCUUGAAAUUCAAAAUUUUGAGUUUUAAGGACAAAAUGAUAUGCAAAUAAAAUAUUUAUAUAUGUAAGAAUUGAGAUAAGAAGAUGUAUAAAUUGUUUUUUUUUGUACAUGUAGAGAUCUUUUCGGUUAUUAUAGUCAAAAUAAAAAUUUAUAGAGAUAAAAUAUAUAAUGUUUAAAAUAAAAUAAUUUUUAUUUGGUGUGAUUCACAUUUAUUUUAUUUUAUUUUGAACAAAAUAAAUUAAACCACAUCUUUUAAUAUAUCUAUAAUUUUAAUAUCUAAGAAUUGAUGUAUUAAACUUUGUAUUUUGUUCCAUCUUUUUAUUAAGCUGUGUAUUUUUUAGAUCAAGUAACUUAGAUUUGAAAUCAAACAUUUCUUAUAAUUGUAGAUUGAAACGAUUCUAAAUAGCAUUCAAAGCAAUAUUAGCCAAUAAACAGUAUCAAAUUUAGACUUUAGAAACAGUGACAUAAAGAAAAAGUAAAAUAUCUUUUUACACAGAAAUAAAUCGAGCGGCGCAUAUGAAUACGAUGGAUCAUUUGGUUUAAAGAAAUUCCUACUUGUUUUGCAUUUCCAAACCGGAUAAUAAUCAGAGAAAUUGAAUAUUAACUAUUAAGAUCAUAAACUAAAUAGUUGGCAUCAUUAUAAUUUGUUAUUUUUUUGUCAUCAACUUAAAUAGACUCGAUUAAAACUCUUCUAACCAAGAAAUAGACUUAAUUUCAUUUUCUAAUUUUUUCAAUAUCCAUUUACUAGUUAUCCCAAAUAUCACAACAUAUAUAUAUAUAAAGGUAAAUCUUAAAUAAUAACUGUUUGAGAACCUUAAAUAAUAAUUAUGAAAAUUAUUCAUUUAUCAAUUAUCCAAAAUAGCACGACAAAUAAAUAUAUACUUCAUAGAGUCGGUACAAUAUUAUUGUUAUAUAGUAUUAAAACAGAUACUAGUUAACUAAUGACUCAGCUAAAAAAUUUCCUAUAUAUUAAAAAAAAAACAUUACAACAUUUGAAGUAGCCACAUAUCAUUACCACAACGAUUUUUGUAAUUCUUAAAGAAAAAGAUUGGACCAUCUAAAUAUAUAAUAAUUUUUUUAUUAAACUAAUCAUAAAUUAAUUAUUAAUGUUUUUCAUGAUUUACUUAAAUAAAAAUUACAGAAUUCCUUAAUGUAGUUAAAAUAUAUGUGAUAAUUAGUGAUUUGAAGAAUAAAAAUUUGAUAAAAAAAAUUAUUGUAUCCUUUAUCGUUUUUUAAUUUUAACUUAUUAAAAUAAAUUAAACAACCACACUAGCUUUGUAGUUUAAAUUUAAAUUUUUCCAUACAUGUUAUAUUUUUAAUUUUUAAAGACGACUAUAAUUAUUAAAACUAUUAAAAGUCUCACAUUAAAAAAAUUGUGAUCCAUUGUUUAAAAUUUAUGUCAUGACAAGAUACAAAUGAUUACAAAAUCAUAUAAGUAAGAAGUCUCAUUUAACAAAUAUUAAGUUGAUAUAUUAAUAUCGUUUAAGUUAAACUAUGUACUACCAUAUAAAGAUACAAAAAUAUUUUAAUUCUAAAAUUUGCUUUGAACAAUUUAUGUUUUGAUAAAGCUUUGAACAAAUAUUGACAAAUUAAUAUUUAAAUUUUAAUCUUUGCAUGCAUUGUACUUUUCGAAAAAAAUUAUAAAUUACUAAACUAUUAAACAUUUCACAAUGAAAAUUUUGUUAUUCGUGAUUCAAAAUUUUUGGUAUAAAAGAUACAAAUGAUUAAAAAACAAUAUGAAUAUAAUGUAUUAUUAAAUAGAUAUCUUUUUUUGUCGACAUUAUUUAUUAGAUAUCAUUAUUACAAAUAGACUAUAUAUAUGUGAAUAUCAUUUAAAUUAAUUAUAUACCAUAUAAAAUAGAAAAAAAUGUUUACUUGGUUUAAUAAAAUUUAUUUAUGUGUUCACACCAAUUUAAUUAUAUACAUAAUAGUCACUAAAUUUUUAAUUAUUUAAUUUAUUUUCAUUAAUGCAUUAUAAAUAAAAUAAUAUAUAAUAUAAUAAAAUAAUUUAUAUAUAAUGUUUAUUCUGCGCAAGGGUGGGUCUUAACCUAGUUACUAAAAAUAUGAUAAAUAAUAAAAAUAACCUAAAAUUAUGGAUUAGAUAAAAGUAAGCAAAAUCAAUUUUCAAAUAAUAUUAUAGAUAGAUACAAUUGAGUUCUAUUUAAAGAUUAUAAAAGUUGUUUAUCAAGUGAUAAAAUCUGCUUGUUCAUAUGGUAAAUGGAUUGUAAAACGAGAAUUCAGCCAAAAAAACACGAACUUUACACGAAUCGCCAAAAAAAUUCUGUAUUCGAGUCUGGCCAAACAAAUAUUGUACUUUUAUUGACUUUUUAAGUUUAUUAAGCAACUUAAGAUUGACUGGCCAUUUUAGCACACCGUGAACCCACAGUUAAAACACUGUUAAAUGUUGGCGUUAAGCGAAACGAUAUCGUUUUCAAAUGAGAUGAAACGACGUCGUUUCACAUGAUUUGAAAAUAAAAAGAAAUACACCCCUGGAUUCAAACUCGGGUUGAUUAGGACUAAUGGCAAGGUAUUUUAUCACUGGAUUAGUGGCACUUUCAAUUGAGUUACUAACACAUUUAGUUUUAUUUGGUACUGAUUGAAUGUAAAACAAUUCUCUAAAAACUUUAUAAAAUUAAUUUUGAAAUUAAAAUUAAAAGUAAAAUUUUAUUUGUUCUUUAAAAAAUCAAAAAUCUUCCAAAAAUUUCAUUUUUUUUUAAAUUCCAAAAAAAUUAAAAAAAUACCCACAUAUUACAAAAAAAACCCACAAAUUUAAAUUCCAAUUCCAAAAAAUUUAAAAAUUCAAAGAAAAUGAAAAAAAAUUAAAAUUACAAUUAUCAGCUAAAAAUUAAAAUCGCACUCAUAAUAGGUACAAUAUUUAUUUUAAGCAUUUUAAUUUAAUUUUAAUAUGUGGGUAUCUUUUUAUGUGUGUAUAAUUAAUUUCAAUUUUUAGCAAUUGUUUCAAAAAAAAUUGAAAAUUUUGGAAGAUUUUUGAUUUUUUUAAAGAAAAAAUAAAAAAUUUAUUUUACAUUUUUAUUUCAAAACUAAUUUUAGAAUUUUUUUUUUUUCAAUUUUUUGGAAUUUUAAAGAUCUUUUAAAGUUAAUAAAUUUUUUUUUAUAUUCAUUCAGUACCAAAUAAAAUUAAAUGUGUUAGUAACUCCAUUGAAAGUGUCACUAGCCGAGUGAUAAAAUACCUUUCAAUUUCUCCCAACCAACGUGAGUUCAAAUCCAAUUGUCUAUUUCUUUUUAUUUCACUUAAUGCUAACAAUAAACGAUGUCAAAUUUUUCUGGUCAAUUUGCUGACGGUGUGCUAAAUUGGCAAGUCAACGAAAACAUUGUUAAUUAAUUCUAAAGUUAAUGAAAAUUUUGUGUUUUUUUGGUCAGUUCAAAAAUUCAUGUUUUUUUUGAUAAUUCCUGCAAAGUUCGUACUUUUUUUGGCCGAAUUCUCAUUGUAAAACAAUUAUUUUUAGGCGGUUUGUAACCUUGUCUCAAUCCUAAACUAUAAGAGAGGGAAGUUUUUUGAUUAAAAUUUAAAAAAAAGAGAGGGAAGCUUUUCUACUUACUAUUCGUAACACUAACAGAAAAAAAAACUUAAUGACUUUCAUUUAUUGUUUACAAAAAAGGACUUAUUUCGUGAGACACCUAGCCUUGUCCUAUAAAUACACCCAUACGAUACUAUCAUCUCAUAUCAGUAACCAAAAAACAAAACUAAAACAUGGGGUUCUUGGGUAAGAGUGUAUUGGUGAGUCUCAUUGCACUUUGGUGCUUCACUUCCUCUGCCUUCACUGAAGAAGUGAACCAUGUGACUCAAACACCUUCCUCUGCUCCUGCUCCGGCUCCUUACCACCACGGCCACCACCACCCACACCCUCCCCAUCCCCACCAUCCUCACCCGCACCCUCCGGCAAAAGCCCCUGUUAAGCCACCGGUUUCUCCACCAGCUAAACCUCCGGUUAAGCCUCCAGUUUACCCUCCAGCCAAAGCCCCAGUCAAGCCCCCAACUAAGCCCCCUGUUAAACCACCAGUUUCUCCACCAGCCAAACCUCCGGUUAAGCCCCCGGUUUACCCUCCGACCAAAGCCCCGGUUAAGCCCCCAGUUAAACCUCCAGUUAAGCCACCAGUUUCACCACCAGCCAAGCCUCCGGUUAAGCCCCCUGUUUACCCUCCGACCAAAGCCCCUACUAAGCCCCCAACUAAACCCCCGGUUAAGCCUCCUGUCUCUCCUCCAGCCAAGCCACCGGUGAAGCCACCGGUUUACCCGCCGAAGUUUAACAGGAGCCUAGUCGCCGUUCAGGGUACGGUCUUCUGCAAAAGCUGCAAAUACGCUUCUUACGACUCGCUCACUGGCGCCAAACCAGUU